rnacentral:rRNA from 1 species
GUCGAACGCGAAAGGGGGCUUCGGCUCCCGAGUAGAGUGGCGCACGGGUGAGUAACGCGUGGAUAAUCUGCCCUCUUGUUCGGGAUAACUGCUGGAAACGGCAGCUAAUACUGGAUAAGCUCCACCAAUUGUAUGGUGGAGGAAAGGAGGCCUCUUCAUGAAAGCUUCCGCGAGGGGAUGAGUCCGCGUCCCAUUAGCUAGUUGGUGAGGUAACGGCCCACCAAGGCAACGAUGGGUAGCCGGUCUAAGAGGAUGACCGGCCACACUGGAACUGAAACACGGUCCAGACUCCUACGGGAGGCAGCAGUGGGGAAUAUUGCGCAAUGGACGAAAGUCUGACGCAGCGACGCCGCGUGAGGGAUGAAGGUUUUCGGAUCGUAAACCUCUGUCAGGAGGGAAGAAAGCGCAUGGCGCCAAUCAGCCAUGCGUUGACGGUACCUCCAAAGGAAGCGCCGGCUAACUCCGUGCCAGCAGCCGCGGUAAUACGGAGGGCGCGAGCGUUAAUCGGAAUUACUGGGCGUAAAGCGCGCGUAGGCUGUUGUGUAAGUUGGGGGUGAAAUCCCACGGCUCAACCGUGGAACAGCCCUUGAUACUGCGCGACUUGAAUCCGGGAGAGGGUGGCGGAAUUCCAGGUGUAGGAGUGAAAUCCGUAGAUAUGGGGAGGAACAUCAGUGGCGAAGGCGGCCACCUGGACCGGUAUUGACGCUGAGG